GUGAGAGGAAUGUGUGGUGGGAGCAAGACGCGAGAAAGAGACGUAGAAAGGAAGCAUAGAGAUAUUUAGAAUGUUUAUAUUUUUCACUCUUAGGGGUAUAUUUUGUUAAAAAAGAUAUAAUUAAAAGAGAGUGUUCCUUGCGGUGCUUAUGUGAGGGUGGUGUUCAUGGUGGUGGGUCUGGCCGCCUCGUUCAGGGUCAAGCACGUUAUCCUCGU
rnacentral:lncRNA from 1 species